rnacentral:rRNA from 1 species
UACGUAGGGUGCAAGCGUUAAUCGGAAUUACUGGGCGUAAGGCGUGCGCAGGCGGCUUUGCAAGUCAGAUGUGAAAUCCCCGGGCUUAACCUGGGAACUGCAUUUGUGACUGCAUGGCUGGAGUGCGGCAGAGGGGGAUGGAAUUCCGCGUGUAGCAGUGAAAUGCGUAGAUAUGCGGAGGAACACCGAUGGCGAAGGCAAUCCCCUGGGCCUGCACUGACGCUCAUGCACGAAAGCGUGGGGAGCAAACAGG